AGAGUUUGAUCCUGGCUCAGAACGAACGCUGGCGGCAGGCCUAACACAUGCAAGUCGAAGGAGAAGUUUCUCUUCGGAGAGAUGGACACUGGCGCACGGGUGAGUAACGCGUGGGGAUCUACCCCGGGGUGGGGGACAACCGCUGGAAACGGCGGCUAAUACCGCAUACGCCUUAAGAGGGAAAGCUUUAGCGCCCUGGGAUGAACCCGCGUUAGAUUAGGUAGUUGGUGGGGUAACGGCCUACCAAGCCGACGAUCUAUAGCUGGUCUGAGAGGAUGAUCAGCCACACUGGGACUGAGACACGGCCCAGACUCCUACGGGAGGCAGCAGUGGGGAAUAUUGGACAAUGGGGGCAACCCUGAUCCAGCCAUGCCGCGUGCGUGAAGAAGGCCUUAGGGUUGUAAAGCGCUUUCACUGGUGAAGAUGAUGACGGUAGCCAGAGAAGAAGCCCCGGCUAACUCCGUGCCAGCAGCCGCGGUAAUACGGAGGGGGCAAGCGUUGUUCGGAAUUACUGGGCGUAAAGGGCGCGUAGGCGGAAUAUCAAGUUAGGGGUGAAAGGCCUGGGCUCAACCUAGGAACGGCCUCUAAAACUGAUAAUCUAGAGUCCGGAAGAGGAUGGCGGAAUUCC
rnacentral:rRNA from 1 species